rnacentral:tRNA from 3 species
GGGGCCGUAGCUCAGCUGGGAGAGCGCCUGGUUUGCAUCCAGGAGGCCAGGAGUUCAAUCCUCCUCGGCUCCA